rnacentral:rRNA from 1 species
UACGUAGGGGGCGAGCGUUGUCCGGAAUUAUUGGGCGUAAAGGGCUCGUAGGCGGGUUGUCGCGUCGGGGGUGAAAACCCAGGGCUUAACUCUGGGCUUGCUUUCGAUACGGGCAGACUAGAGGUAUGCAGGGGAGAACGGAAUUCCUGGUGUAGCGGUGAAAUGCGCAGAUAUCAGGAGGAACACCGGUGGCGAAGGCGGUUCUCUGGGCAUUACCUGACGCUGAGGAGCGAAAGUGUGGGGAGCGAACAGG